UCCGUAGGUGAACCUGCGGAAGGAUCAUUACAAGUGAAGUCGCCGAGCACUCGAAAGAGUGAUUAGGCGCUUACACCCACCCGUGUCUACAUACUCUUGUUGCUUUGGCGGGCCGUGGCCUCCACCGCGGGCUUUGCUCGCGUGUGCCCGCCAGAGGACCAAACUCUGAACGUUAGUGAUGUCUGAGUACUAUCUAAUAGUUAAAACUUUCAACAACGGAUCUCUUGGUUCUGGCAUCGAUGAAGAACGCAGCGAAAUGCGAUAAGUAAUGUGAAUUGCAGAAUUCAGUGAAUCAUCGAAUCUUUGAACGCACAUUGCGCCCUGUGGUAUUCCGCAGGGCAUGCCUGUUCGAGCGUCAUUUGACCACUCACGCUUGGCGUGGUGUUGGGGCACGCGGUUCCGCGGCCCUCAAAACCAGUGGCGGCGCCGGUGGGCUCUAAGCGUAGUACAUACUCCCCGCUAUAGAGUCCCCCCGGUGGCCCGCCAGAACCCCCAAUCUUACAGGUUGACCUCGGAUCAGGUAGGAUACCC
rnacentral:rRNA from 1 species